UACGUAGGGGGCAAGCGUUGUCCGGAUUUAUUGGGCGUAAAGAGCGUGUAGGCGGUCAGGUAGGUCCGUUGUGAAAACUCGAGGCUCAACCUCGAGACGCCGAUGGAAACCAUCUGACUAGAGUCCGGAAGAGGAGAGUGGAAUUCCUGGUGUAGCGGUGAAAUGCGCAGAUAUCAGGAAGAACACCCGUGGCUAAGGCGGCUCUCUAGUACGGUACUGACGCUGAGACACGAAAGCGUGGGUAGCAAACAGG
rnacentral:rRNA from 1 species